CAUGCGUUAGGGUUUAAAACCAUAUACUCGUAAUUCUUUUCAUAGCCGUUUUUGUUACACAAGUGUGUGUUCUGUCUUUCCUUUUUUCUUUUCCUCUUAUCUUCUUCCUCAAACUCUCUCUUUCUCUCUCUUCUCCUCCUCUUUUCUCUUUCAUGUUGCCGGCGCGUUGGUCGGUCGUAGCAGCGGUAACAGUGGCGCAAGGAGUUAAUACAAACUAACCUCUAGUCGUUUCCCCCUCCCGAAAGGAUUUUUCCUAUAGAUGAAAUGACAGUACGGAGUAGUAAUUAAAGGACAGAAAAAAAGGCAUGAUGAUUAAAUUAAGGAGUGCAUCUUUCAGAGGCGCGCUAUCACACUACUACAAGGCUCAAGGUUUUGCCGGGAAAACCCAUUACCGUGAGUUUUUCUUAGCUUGCAACUCAUUCAAGAGUCUUCAUAUUUCCCAGGUGGUAUGGAUAUUAAGAUCUUUUUAUCACAUUUACAUUCAAUCCAAAGGGGCUAGAAAAUCACUAGAUUUGUUCAUAAGAAAGGACUUGGACUAGAGGAUAGGCCACACAUCUUAUGUAGGUUUUUUGAAAUAAUAAUAUGAGGCAUGUAAGUGUAUAUGUACCACCCUAUAUAUAAGAUAAGCUAUAAUUUUCAUUUUUAAUAUAGAUUUUUGUACUAAUUUUAUAUCUGUGUAGCAACCAUCAUAAGAUUACUCGGUUAAUGUAAUAGGGGUUACCCAGUCAGUGGCGGAGCAAGGAUUCUUCACCUAGCGGACGGACUAAAGGUGGCGUACAUUCUAUAAAUGGACAAACCUUUUAAACAUACAAGAAAUUGUAGGGACUAUGCUUAAUAAUUUUAAGUUUUACAACCUGAAAAUCCAAAUUUCUUAGUUAUACAGUCCAAAAAUUGAAAAAAACCAUAUAUACAAUUACAACUUCACCUUUAAAUAUUCAUUCUUUUUUGAAGUGAUAUACAAUAAAAAUUAUCAAAUAAUUCAUUAAUGUGAUUUCUAAUUCACGAUAAUCCUAACAAAUAAACAAUUUCUUAUUCAAAUUUGGUCAAUAGCGGAUCCAUAGGUUCAAAGUUUUUAAACCUGUGACAAAUUAAUUUAUAUUGAGAUAUAUAAUAAAAUCAAACACAUUUACCCGAAAUUACUAAAUAACCAAUAAAUUGGGGUUGUAAUGUAUGCAUUUAUAUAAAUAAAAAAUUAUAUAUGUAAAUUACUAUGGUAAUUUAAAAGUUAGAACAUGAUGCCAUUAAAUAGUACUAUGAAUUACUUCUAAUUGAAUGUGUGAAGUAAAGAAACAUGCAUGAAAAGAGGAAAAAUUUAAAAUAAAAAUAAGAAGAAAAAAAAUGUUGGUCAAAGGGAUUGAACCCAUGACCAUGGAGACUACUAAUAACCCCUGAAACCAUUGAACCAAACCCUUAUUCUUAUUUUUUAUGCUUUACAUAAUUAGUUUUAACUAACUUUUUUUUUUAUUGAAGUGGGGGAAAAGUUGUCCCCCCUUGUACCCCCCUCCCUCCGCCACUACACCCAAUUAGUGUUAUAGUUGUUACUUUGUUAGUGUUGUACUUUGUUAUUUAAGGAUUACUAAAUUAGUAUAUAUAAUAAGACUCUGUUCACUUCACCUUAAACUCUUAAAGAUAUAUUAUUUGGUGAAAAUAAUUUUAGUUUAGUAUAAAUAACUUCAAUUUGGUAUAUUUAAUUUCAUUUUAGCAAAAAGCAACUACUUUAAAUAAGAAAUAUACUCAUUGCGUCCCUUAAUACAAAGUCUCAUUUCCUUUUUGGGUAAAUUAAAAUGCAAUGCCUCUUUCUAUUUAAAGGUUGUAUUUUUUGACAUUAAUUAAUACUCUUUUUUUUGAUGAGUUGUCAUCUUUAUUCGUUUGAUUUUUUGUACUUUUGACAUCAAUUUCCAACACUUUCUCGCACUAUCUCUUUAAUUAUUCCUAACAAUUUUUUCUUUCUUUCCAUCUCUCUCUAACCCUACAUGUACAUAUUUACUUUUAAUUUUAAGUUUUAAAGAAUUUACAACUUUCUUAAUUCCCGCGAAAAAACCAAAAGUGACUUUAUAUUAAGGGACAGAGAGAGUAAUAGAGAAACGAUAAAAAAAAUUAUCAACAAAAAUAAUUUCAAUUUAGUAAAAAUAAUUUUAGUUUAGUAAAAAUAAUUUUAGUUUUGCAAAAAUAAUUUUAGUUCAAUAAAAAUAAUUUCAUUUAAGCAAAUAUAAGGUGAAGAGAACCGAGCUUAGAAGUUACUCUAUCAAUAUAAUAGGGAUUGAGUUUUUCUAAGCUAUGCCCCCCAAGUUCUUCGGUUUCUAAGUUGUACCCAUGCUUUUUCAAAUUUAUAAGUUGUGCCCUCCACCUCACGAUAUUUUAUCAACAAUACCCUUUGACACCCAAAUCCGUUAACGAAAGUUAAGUUAUUUUAUCAACAUUGACGUCGUGGUAUUAUUAAUUUGACACGUGUCCCGUUCUAAUUGGUUUAAAACUUUAAAUAAAUUUUUAAAAUCAGAAAAUAAAAUAAUAAAAAAGGUUAUUGUUAACGUCAAAUACUAUUGUUAAUAAAAAUUAGUGAGGUUGAGGGCACAACUUAGAUGUUUGAAAAAGCAUGGGCACAACUUAGAAAUCGAAGAAGUUUGGGGGCAUGACUUGUUAGUGUCAUAGGGGUUAAUUACUCCAUUUUUUACAAUCGAUCACACAGUGUGACCAACCGCACAGAAAAUAUGUUGUAGAUUUUGUAUAAGUUUCAUGUUAAACUUUAAGUGUUUUUAAAAGCUAUAGAAGAGAAAAGAGAUACCAAAUUAUUUGUGAUAUAAAAAUUACUCCCUUCGUCUCUUUAUUAAUGUCCACUUUUCUCUUUAUUAUGUGAGUAAUAAAUGAUAGAAAGUGGACACUAAUAAAGAGACGGAGGGAGUACAAUAUAUAGUGAUCAUAUUAUUAAUAUAAUGGUAAAUGUUUCCAAAAAAAUAUAUGUAGUUAGAGGACGGAAAUAGUUAUUUAAAAGGCAAAAUUUUAUAUGUGAUUGGUUACACCGUGGAUAGGAGUUACUCGAGUUACUUGGUCAAGGGUUACUUGAGGGGUUCGGUCAAGGGUUAGUUAAAUACUCUGUCAUGAAUUAUUUAAGAGAUUACUCGGUCAGGGGUUACUCGGUCAUGAGUUACCUGAGUUACUUGAUCAAGGUUUACUUUAGGGGCUCGUUCAUGGGUUACUUGAGGGGUUCGGUCAUGGUAAGGUACUUAGUCAUGGGUUACUUAUGGGGUUACUCGGUCGGGGGUUUCGAGAGGGGUUACUGAUGAGUGUGAUUUAUGGCACUCAUCGGAUAGUCUUCUAGGAUGAUUUCAUCCCUUUUUCAUGCUUUCUUAUCUUAAUUUUGGUCCCUUUUCCUUUAGUUCCUUUAUUUCCUUAUUUCUUUGUGUUUUUCGUGUUUUCUUCUUAUUUUGCUUUUACUUGGCCCUUUUUCCCUUUUAUUCCUUUCCUCUGUUUUCUCUUGUAGAUACCUAGGAGUUGUCUUUUCAAAGGGAUCAAGAUGAGCUAUUUUGACUAAGUAAGGAGGAAGCAAUCUGCUUGGAGAGGGCUUGGAGAGGGCUUAGAGAGGCCUCGCAGAGGGCAUCAUCUCUUGCCGAGUUGCCGCGGGCGCGGGUCCUGAAGGCCGCGGGUGUGUGCUUGAUUGCUCCAAAUGAUCCAAAAUCGACCUGGAACUCUUCGCGGCCUGGUGCUCGCGGGCGCGGGUAGAUUGGAGAGAGCACUCCAAAUUAGAGAGACCGCGGCCCUCUGAUCAACCUCUGGGAGCAGGGGAUUCGCCGCGCCCUUGCCGCGGGCGGGCUAGAAGACCCGCAGGUGCGGGUGUUGCCCAGAUAACCCGCUGAGUUUGUUAUGGGUUCUGUACCCAUUUCCCCGAGGGCGCGUGAUUUCUUAGAGAGAGCGCGGGGAUCCUGUUUUCCUUCUUUGCCUAUAAAUACAAUUGUAAUUCCUUUUUGAAA